AACGAAAAGAGGUACCCCAACGCAGCGUCGGAUAAAAGUGUGGCUAUAUUACUCCCGGCACAGCAUUUAGUCAAUCACAUGACCAUCAUUUAGCCCUACUUAUUAGCAUCAUUUAAAUGUGGAGAAAUAGUAACCACAUUAAAGAGUGGCAAAUUCUAACGAUGGAAAAGAAUACCCAACGCAACGUGUGAUAAAAGUGUGGCUAUAUUAGCCCCGACACAG
rnacentral:lncRNA from 1 species